UGCACGUAAUGUAUGAACAAGGAAUUUUAUAAUCCUUGCAAUUGGUGUAAUUUUUUCUUUCAAUGAUGCAAUUUGAGGAAAAAUAAGCAUGAGAACAAUGCUAUUCAAUUCAAAUCUCCUUAUAACUGUCAACAUAAUCAGCCAUCCAAUUUGUGCGCAACUUGGAGAACGUGUACUUCAAUUGUUCAUAAGCUUUUUAUCGCUUUAAGAAUUUUUAUGAAGUAACCAAUCGCAUAGCAACCUACGCAGCUAAUUAUGACCCAAGGAGAGCAAGACUUCCCCAACGGAGUGUAUAUAAACGGUGGAAAUUCUUGAGAUGAUUACAUUGCGCCAUUUCAUUUGAUAAGGACACAAGAAACAGAGAGCUGUUGAAGGAAACAUCGAUUUCGUCAUAACAAGACAAAGAUGACUUCUUCUCGUUGUUUACUAACUUUGGUGCUAUUCAUCAGUCUACUUCUGCCACGAGAGGCAACAUCACUACCUUCGCCUUCAAAGUGCAGAAACAUCUGUUCCAGCAACUAUAAUUCAUGUAUGCAAGCUGCCCCAGAUAAAAUCUCUGCAAACAAAUGUACAGUGUCAAAUAAUGAAUGCUAUAAGAAAUGUACGAGGCAACGAAGAAGUAUCAUGUGGAAGUUGUAAAAGAAGAACAACUGAAAAACACUUUACAUAGAAAUGGUAAAGAAUUCAGUGAAGCAAUAGUAGUAAGAGGGAGUUGUGUGUAAGUUUGAAUUGGGGAAGAGAGAAAUUUCAAGUAGAUAUAAAUCUUGUCAAAGACUUAGUUAAUAUAUGAUGUAAAUUAUACAAUAAUAACAAUAAUACAAUGCUAGAUGUAUAUAAUCAUUUGAAUAGACAAUUGGAGUUUAAAAUGAAGAAUUAAAUCGAUGAAUGCAAUAA